CCUGGGAGUCGCGGCCCCAGCCCGGCCGGCGCAGGAUUGCAUCGCUGGCUGCAGGGCGGUGGUGAAAUGAGCUCACAGGAAGCUUUCCAGGCACAGAGGAGCCAGCUGGUGGGGCUGCUUGUGUCAGGGUCCCUGGAGGGCUUUGAGAGCAUCUUGGACUGGCUGCUCUCCUGGGAGGUACUCUCCUGGGAAGAGUACGAGGGCCUCCGCCUCCCGGGCCAGCCUCUCUCCCAUGUGGCCAGGUGCCUGCUGGACACAGUCUGGAACAAGGGCAGCUGGGGCUGUCAGAAGCUCCUCGAGGCUAUCCAGGAGGCCCAGGCUGACAGCCAGCCCCCUGAUCUGCAUGACAGUUUGGACCCUCACUCAUGCCACCCUGCCAGAGACCUGCAGCGUCACCGACCAGCUGUUGUCAGGAGACUCUACAGCCGUGUGGAGGACAUGCUGGCUGUGGCCAGGGAACAGGGUUUCGUUAGCCAGUAUGAAUGUGAUGAAAUCAGGUUGCCCAUCUUCACGGCAUCCCAGAGGGCCAGAAGGCUGCUGGACCUUGCCACAGUGAAGGUUAAUGGACUGGCUGCCUUCCUUCUGCAGCACAUUGAGGCCUCACCAGCCCCGUUGUCCCUGCCUCUCGAGGCUGCUGAUUGCCAGAGGUACAUAGCCAAGCUGAGAGCCACGGUGUCUGCUCAGUCCCGCUCCCUUAGUACCUACGAUGGGGUGGAGAAUCUCUGCCUGGAGGAUAUUUACACAGAGAAUAUCCUGGAGCUCCGGAUGGAAGUGGGACCCCUGAAGAAAAGCCCUGCCACCCUGAGCCUUGAGGAACUCUUCAGCACCCAAGGGCAUCUCAACGAAGACGCAGACACCGUGCUGGUGGUGGGCGAGGCAGGCAGUGGCAAGAGCACACUCCUGCAGCGGCUGCACUUGCUGUGGGCUACAGGGCAGGACUUCCAGGAGUUCCUCUUCGUCUUCCCAUUCAGCUGCCGGCAGCUGCAGUGCAUGAGCAAACCUCUGUCUGUGAGGACGCUGCUCUUUGAGCACUGCUGUUGGCCUGAUGUUGGUCAGCAGGACGUCUUCCAGUUCCUCCUUGAACACCCUGACCGUGUGCUACUCACCUUUGAUGGGUUUGAUGAGUUCAGGUUCAGGUUCACGGACCAGGAGCGUCACUGUUCCCCAACUGACCCUACAUCGGUCCAGACUCUGCUUUUCAACCUCCUUCAGGGCAACUUGCUGAAGGAUGCCCGAAAGGUAUUAACCAGCCGCCCAGAUGCGGUCUCGGCAAGCCUCCGGAAGUAUGUGCACACGGAGUGUCACCUCAGGGGCUUCUCAGAGGAGGGCAUCGAGCGGUACCUGAGGAAGUGCCAUCCUGAACACGGCGUAGCAGACCGCCUCAUUCACCUGCUCCAGGCGACUUCUGUGCUGCAUGGCUUGUGCCACCUUCCUGUCUUCUCGUGGAUGGUGUCUAAAUGCCACCAGGAACUGUUGCUGCAAAAUGGGAGGUCCCCUAAAACCACCACAGAUAUGUAUCUUCUGAUCUUGCAGCAUUUCCUGCUGCAUGCCUCCACUCCAGAGGCUGUCUCCCACGGCCCGGGGCCUGGCCUCCUUCAAAGCAAGCUGCCCUCGCUUCUGCACCUCGGCCGCCUGGCCUUCUGGGGCUUGGGCACGUGCUGCUAUGUGUUUUCAGCCCAACAGCUCCAGACAGCACAGGUUGACCCUGAGGACAUUUCUCUUGGCUUCCUGGUGCGCGCCCAAGGUGCGGUGCCAGGGAGUGCGGCACCCCUGGAAUUCCUGCAUAUUACUUUUCAGUGCUUUUUUGCUGCUCUCUACCUCGUGCUUUGUGCUGAUGUGCCAACAACCUCACUCAGACACCUCUUCAAGUGUCACAGGCCAGGCAGCUCUCCACUGACCAGGCUGUUGCCCAUGCUUUGUGUCCAGAGCCCCAGGACCAAAGAGGGUAGCGUGGCAGCUUUGCUGCAGAAGAUCGAGCUGCACAAUCUUCAGAUCACUGCAGCCUUCCUGGCAGGGCUGCUGUCACGGGAGCACCAGGACCUGCUAGCUGAGUGCCAGGCAUCCGAGAAGGCCCUGCUGCGGCGCCAAGCCUGUGCCCGCUGGUGUCUAGCCCGUAGCCUCCACAAGCAUUUCCAUUGCAUCCCGCCGGCUGUGCCAGGUGAGGCCAAGAGCAUGCACGCUAUGCCUGGCUUCGUCUGGCUCAUCCGGAGCCUCUAUGAAAUGCAGGAAGAGCAGCUGGCACGGGAGGCCGUGCGGGGGCUGGAUGUCGGGCACCUCAAACUGACAUUUUGCAGCGUGGGCCCCACCGAGUGUGCUGCCCUGGCUUUUGUGCUGCGGCACCUCCAGUGGCCUGUGGCCUUGCAGCUGGACCACAACUCUGUGGGCGACAUUGGCGUGGAGCAGCUGCUGCCUUGCCUUGGUGUCUGCAAGGCUCUUUAUUUGCGUGAUAAUAAUAUCUCGGACCGAGGCAUCUGCAAGCUCAUCGAGCACGCUCUUCACUAUGGGCAGCUGCAGAAGCUGGCUCUGUUCAACAACAAAUUGACUGACGGCUGCGCACACUCCAUGGCCCAGCUCCUCGAGCACAAGCAGAACUUCUUGGCGUUGAGGCUUGGAAACAACCACAUCACCGCUGCAGGUGCACAGGUGCUAGCCCAGGGCCUCCGAAGCAAUGCCUCCCUGCAAUUCUUGGGGUAGGUGGGAUUCCCGGCAGAGGGCCUACAUGAAAUUUGGGGCUUUUUGAGAAUUUAGGGGCAGGUGAAAUGCCUCAGCCAGGAGUCCCCAGAGAUAGCCCAGGCUCCAAUGGGAAGGGUGCACUGGGGAGAGUGGUGGCCCUAGGCUUCUCCACCCAAAAAACAGGAAGUUGCUGGUGUCAGGGGAGGGGGAGGGCAGUGCCCAUGAUGGGGACAGGAAGCUUAUAGGUCAUCAGAGGUGCGCAGGGCUGGGCUGUGGCUGCACCUGGAAGCACUUGCUUUUCUAGAAAACACUGUCACCUGGGCCCAUGCCAGAAGGCGAAGUGGAAAUGUCUAGGGGCUGUGUAUCCAGGGUUAGGGCCCUUGACCUAAGAGAGGCCGUAGGGAAGGAAGAGGAGGGCCCAGCAGGGAGGUCCUUGGGCUCUCACCAAGGAGGGAGCCAAGUCUCUUACACUGGGCCCUGGAGCAGAGCUUCCUCUGGGAGCUGGACAGAACAGCUUCUUGGAGGGUUGCUCCUACACCAUCCCCAGCUGCCCCUGUCUUGUGCAGACUGAGGUUCAGCUGACAAGACAGGUUACCAAAUCCAAGUCUGUAGAAAGAGAAACUAACCCGGAGGCCCUAGUGUUCCAGCCGUCUCAUGGCAGGCAGGUUGCCCACAAGCUCAGACUCGGCCACAUGUGCAUCACUCCAGGAACUGACACCUUUUUCAUGCUGUAUCAGUAGCAACUGAGUCCAGAACAGAAGAGGCGCGGCCCACUGAGGUGUUUUCCUCUUGAGGUUUCCUCGGCCACAUUGGGGCAUUUGCUUCCCUCACAACAUGUAUUUAUUAAGGUGCCUGCUUGGGUUUUACUGUGCUAAAACCCCAACCCAAGCACUAUCAUAUGGUACAAACUGUUCUGCAGCUUGCAUUUCUGUAUUUGCUUUGUGAUGUACUCUGUUCCUUUUGGAUCAUUGUGGCCUUAUUCUUUUAAAUAAAGCUGCAUUGUAUUUCACUGUUUGGCACCCAAAGCCUCAAGUAGACAACUGGGGUUGUUUCCAGGAUUUGGGCCAUCACAGGCUCAUGUGCCCAGGGCACAGGCCAGGGCCCACGUGAUUCUCACCCAGUGAAAGCCCAGGGAGCACCCUGGGGCAGCUGUCUGUGCUCACUCUUGCACAUGCGCAGCCCUGGCAGGCCCCCGUGUGUCUGGUGGGAGCUGGGCUCCGCCUUCUGCACAGGGAGAUUUCCAAAGCAUGUUGGGACAGAGGAAGAUGCCCCAAAGGUGAAGGAGGUGGAAACCAGGAAGGAACUAGGGGAAAGAAGGGAACAAGAGAUCAACAGCUGUCUCUGGAAGAAGAGUUGGACUUGUGCCUGUGAUGACCCGGGACAGUCACACACUUGAGAAUGGAAGUCCACAGAAGGAACUCUGAACUGAAAUGUUUGGGAAAAUGUCACAACCAUGUGAAUUAGAGUGAGAGCGAAGCCCCCAUCCCUGAGGAUAUGGGAUAGGUUCUGGGGCAACACUGUGGGUGACGAGGGUGCUCAGGCCCUGGCCGAAGCCUUGGGUGACCACCAGAGCUUGAGGU